GUCAAGGUAGCUCAGUUGGUUAGAGCGCUGGUCUCAUAAGCCGGAGGUCGAGAGUUCAAAUCUCUCUCUUGACACCA
rnacentral:tRNA from 1 species